UACGGGGGGGGGCAAGCGUUUGUUCGGAAUUACUGGGCGUAAAGGGCUCGUAGGCGGCCAUCUAAGUCGGACGUGAAAUCCCCGGGCUCAACCCGGGAACUGCGUCCGAUACUGGAUGGCUUGAAUCCGGGAGAGGGAUGCAGAAUUCCAGGUGUAGCGGUGAAAUGCGUAGAUAUCUGGAGGAAUACCGGUGGCGAAGGCGGCAUCCUGGACCGGCAUUGACGCUGAGGAGCGAAAGCCAGGGGAGCAAACGGG
rnacentral:rRNA from 1 species